GUGGAUUAGAUACCCUGGUAGUCCACGCUGUAAACGAUGAAUACUAGGUGUAGGGGGUAUCGACCCCCCCUGUGCCGCAGCUAACGCAAUAAGUAUUCCACCUGGGGAGUACGGCCGCAAGGUUGAAACUCAAAGGAAUUGACGGGGGCCCGCACAAGCAGUGGAGUAUGUGGUUUAAUUCGACGCAACGCGAAGAACCUUACCAGGGCUUGACAUCCCCUGACGGCGCAAGAGAUUGCGCUUUCCCUUCGGGGACAGGGAGACAGGUGGUGCACGGUUGUCGACAGCU
rnacentral:rRNA from 1 species